AGUUCAACAAAGUGGCAAGUCACCGACUUCACCACCGCCUUCACCCGGACCGACCUUGUUCUGUCUUCUUUAACCUAUAGAACCAAAUAUCUCUUCAUUCCACCUUAGUUUAAGAAAAUCCCUCAGAGACUUGUAUAUGAUAAGGAACACACUACAUCUCAUCAGAAUCCUAUCAAAUUGAAAAGACAAUUGAGGAAGCUACACGGGUGAUUCCAGCUUUGAAUCUAUUUCCGUCAGUCAUCUUCGACGGCCAGAAGCUGCAUGUUAGGUUCUUUAUUUCAGUAUGAUGUCUUCAUGAAAGUUUCUCGGAUUCGUGUCUACUAUCUUGUGCCAAAAUUUGACGAUGAUCCAACGGUUAGAUUGUCCUGAAUUGAGUUUCUCCAUGUCUUGGGUUAUCAUUCGAGUUCCUUUCUUGGAGUCUUCCUCUACCUAUGAGCCUACAGUCCGAAGAGUGACAAUCGGAAUUUGGACAAGUGUUAUGGGCUGCUAUCAAUGGAGGACCAGGUUGUUAACAAUGAUGAAGGACUAGUAUUGGAGCAUUAUGUACGUUGCUAUCUUGCUGUUGCUAAAUGAUUUGAGUUGCUCUUGCAGGUACUGUGCACGAGGAGAGGAUUCGGGACUGAGCUGGGUGUGGUGUUUUCACCCUAAAACUUGUUGGUAUAUUUGCACUCAUAUAUUCAAUUUCUUCUGUUCUAAUUGUUAUUGUUAAAUUGAGAUGAAGGUUUUGUUGUAAUGAUAUCCAUAUGUUCCUUUUAUCUUUAUUUAGUGUGAA